UACGUAGGGGGCUAGCGUUGUCCGGAUUUAUUGGGCGUAAAGAGCGUGUAGGCGGCCAGGUAGGUCUGCUGUGAAAACUCGAGGCUCAACCUCGAGACGUCGGCGGAAACCAUCUGGCUAGAGUCCGGAAGAGGAGAGUGGAAUUCCUGGUGUAGCGGUGAAAUGCGCAGAUAUCAGGAAGAACACCCGUGGCGAAGGCGGUUCUCUGGGCCUGACCUGACGCUGAGGAGCGAAAGCGUGGGGAGCGAACAGG
rnacentral:rRNA from 1 species